UACAGAGGGUGCGAGCGUUGUCCGGAAUCACUGGGCGUAAAGGGCGCGUAGGCGGCUUGAUAAGCGUGCGGUGAAAGCCCGGGGCUCAACCCCGGGUCGGCCGUGCGAACUGUCGAGCUGGAGCACUGUAGAGGCAGGUGGAAUUCCGGGUGGUAGCGGUGGAAUGCGUAGAGAUCCGGAAGAACACCGGUGGCGAAGGCGGCCUGCUGGGCAGUGGCUGACGCUGAGGCGCGACAGCGUGGGGAGCAAACAGG
rnacentral:rRNA from 1 species